GGCGUGUGCAGCUCGGGCUGGGCGAGCCGGUGGAGGCUCUGCCUGCUGCCUGGUUUCCCUCAUCCUGCCCUUUGGAAACACACUGGCCGAGGAGCUGGCUUUCGUUAGAGCCUAACGAGGUCAAUCCAGGGUAUGAGUCCACAGCUUCCACUCUACCUGAGUUACUUAAUACUGUUUCUAUUGAUAAGAGCCUGGAAAAUCAAUGCAGCGAUGAUGUCUGCUUGUUACUCAGUAAAUGGCCUUCCCUCCACCAAACCGAUCCAUUUUACAGGUUAAUGAAUUAUAAAGAGAAAGAUGCGUUUCAAAGGGUUCUUCUCCCAGGAGAGGAGGGGGAGAAUGAAAGCUGUCAUGGUCUUGGGGUGCUGCGGCAGGGCUGCUCUCCGGGCACUACAGCUGCAAACAAAACCUUCUUUCCCCCUUCAGGAAACCCAGGGGCUUUUCUUCUGCUUUGUUUGGACUUUUUUCUCUCUCUAUGUAAAGUUCCCCUUUUAUUUAGAGUCAAUACAAGAUUCUCUCAUCCCCACGGAGUUCUGAACACUGCCUGGCAGUCAGGGAUUGUGCCGAGCUCGAAAAAAGAAAUUAAAACUAGGUAUUGUGCACAGAAACUGUAAGUAGUUCCCCUAAGAAAAAUACCCCAGUGGAAGCAUAUUUAGGAGAGGAAUCAUGGGUAGUUCUGGGCCCCACAGCACAGGAAGGAUCAAAAGCUACUGGAGAGCGUCCAGAGAAGGGCACGGAGCUGGUGAGGCGUUUAGAGGGAAAGCUGUAUGAGGAGAGGCUAAAGUCACUAGGUCUGUUCAGCCCGGAGGAGACUGAUCGCUCUGCAGCUUCGUCACACACGGAGGAGCAGCACGAGUAGUGCAGGAGACAGGCAAAUGUGUUUCCAGUCUGUUGGCACCCAGGGAACAUGGGAAACAGCCACAACCAGGAAUGCCUGAAUCUGGAUGGACCCAAUGCUGUUGGUUUUGAACAGCCUUCUGAAUACCUGGAAAACCCAAAUGCAAGACAAGCACUGGUGGUAAGCUGAUCUUCCAGCAGACUGGCAGGGUUCUGUCCAGGAAAGCGAAUGGGAAAAUGGAGACAGAAUGAAGGGACAAAAAUAUAAUUAUUACCAAUACAGUUUCCCAGACAACACAUUCAGUCAAACAUGUUCUCAUUCCCUGAUGAGACUACAACUGAGCGCGGUUGUGCAGAUGAGCUGUUACAUGGGGACUGUGAGGACAAGCAUCCUCUCGAGGUGCAGGGUGAGAAGGCAGCGGCCAGCAGGCAGAUCCGUGUGGUGACUGCAGCGCAGCACCCUCGCUGCACCCCACUGCUUUUAGAGGGGUUCACCGGUGAUGGGGAGAAGUUGCUUUUAAUCAGCAAUUGUUAGCAAAUGCAAGAUCCCUGCUGAUCCAACACAUGGAUGAUUAACAGCCUGUCGCUAGCCAGGAAAAGCAGCUGAGGCACUGGAAUGCUCUGCUCAUCCAAACGGAGGGUGUUUUAGUACAGCUGAGAAUCACAGAAUCAUGGAAAGGUUUAGGUUGGAGGGGACCUCAAAGCCCGUCCUGUUCCAACCCCUGCCACAGACAGGGACACCUCCCACUGGAUCAGGAUGUCCUUUCAGCACUGGAAGCUGCUCUAAUGUCUCCCCGCAUCCUCCAGGCUGAACAACCUCAACUCCCUUAGCCUGUCCUCAUACUGGAGGUGCUCCAGCACUCGGAUCAUCUCCGUGGCCUUGUCUGGACUCACUUCAACAGCUUUGUGUCCAUCCUGUGCUGAGGAGUCCAAAACUGAAUGCAGGGGUCCGGGGGGUGGGCUCAUGAAAGCAGAGCAGAGGGGCAGAUUCCCCUGCCUCGACCUGCUGGUCCCACUUCUUCUGAUGCAGUGUGACCAAAACAAUAAUUGACACAUGAAUGCAAGAUCCACGGGCUGUGCCCAGGUGGCAAGUCAUGGGGAGGAUGCCAGGAGUGCUCCUGGAAAUCCCUACGAGAGCACAGGCGGAAAAGCAACACACUAGGAGUGUCCAGGGUCCUCCUGGCACGCAAAGCCAGCAGUGAGAAGAGCUGGGCAGUGAAUCUGCCCGCAGAAAAUUUAUUUACCCAGUGUUCAGACCAACACAGGAAAUCUGCAUUCAAGUUUCAUGUUUGAAUUCUUAACAGAGAGUGCAGAAGAGAAUGAGUAAAAUCACUGAGAGCCUGGCAAAAAAUACCCAAAGAGCUCCAUCUGUUUAGCUUACAGAGAAUACGGAGUGUUGCCUUUAUUAAGGUGCAUAAAUAUCUUUAUCGUAAGGAAAACACCUGAUGGCGAAAGGUUCUUUUAUCUAACAGAGAAAGGCAGAGAUAGCGCCGAUGGCUGAGAGUCAAAGCAUAGAAGCUGAGAUGAGAGAUGAGGCUCAUGGGGCUUAGAGCCACCUUGGGAUCUGGGCUCAAUGACUCCUCACCCUUAAAAGCCCUUUCUAAAUAAUUUGCCUUCCUGGAACGCUGGUUCCUGUAUCUGGGACCACCACGUCCCUGAGAUGGGUCCCCUCUCUUUGUUCUCACCCUGAAAACCAGAGAUUUGAUGAAUGUUCUCCUAAAAGCAGAUGGGAAAGAUGAAAGAGAGAGGAGUUUAAAAACGAGAUAAAGCAUUUGAAAGCAAAUAGCAAUUAACCUUCCUGUUCUGAAAGUCUGGCUUCCCAGAGCUCUGCCACGUGGCACCAGGGAGGGGGAGCACUGCGUGCCUCUGCUGCAGCGCAGCCAGGCUGGGGACACAGCACCGGCUGAGCCCCAUGGCUGGCGCAGCUCAGCUCCACAACAGCUCUGCUGCCGUGUGCCGGGAGCAGGGAGGGAUGCCACCUCCACGGCCCACAUCCCAGCUCCGUGAAGCCAGGGCGAUGGAGUGAGGAGGUUUUUGCCGGUGGGAUGGAGCAGAAUCCAGCAUAACCUGAUGGAGCUCCCCAGCCUGAGCAUGCAGGUGCUGUGGGGUCGCUGUGGCAGGAGGACAGGGGGUGCCAGCGCUGGCUGGGCCAUGCCCAGUUUGGGCUGCCAGAAAGGAGACGGUGGCACAGGUAUGCAGCGAGUGGUGGGGACAGGAGAAAGCAGGACCCUGCUGCAGGCAGGGCUGUUUCUCCUGCCUGGAAGCGCUCCCCUCCACACCCUUUCAUGCUGCAGCAUCUUGCAGGGAGGUGAACCACCCUGCCUGGGGAUGUGAGGUCCGCGUGCAUCUCCCAGCAGAACAGGAAGAUUGCAUUAUGCAGCGCCACAUUUAUUAGUCAGCUGAAACAACUGCAUUACUCUCUUGCAUAAUAAAUCCAUUCCUGUGCCAUCACAACACGGAGCAUCAGAUCUGCUUCAGCAGGGGCCACCGGGGCAGAGCAGCAAUCGCCAAUGUCUGAAGCCAGGAGUAACAGCAGGGUCCGAGAGCAAAGACCUACGUCCGCAGGGUCAGAAGCAGCCAGGGGCAUGGGAUGUCGACAGCAGGGACUCAGCACAGCCAGCCUGGCACAGAGCAGGGACAGCCACGAGGAUCAAGGCAACAGCCUCACGGAGCUCUUCCCUUCGGCACCAGGGGCAAUGACUGAGGCAGUCUCUUCUUCUCAGCUUCGACAAAGCUGCAAGUGAACUUGUGGACCCGCCAAGCCAUUAGCAAAGAUGUGCCCUGCUAGAGUGUAACAGGGCAGGGCCUGGUACAGGCAGUGGCACCUUCCUGGCACACAGCACCUCUGACCUGGGGGCAAGGUGGCACAGCUUGACCAUUAGAAAGGGCUUGUGCAAAGCCAAGGAACCUGAGAGAGCGAGCAAGACAGAGCAAAAGGUUCACCAGCGCAGGCUGCAUGCACAGAAGGGGCUCUGGAGGCAGGCAGGCAGCAGGCAGGGGCGUGAAGUCAGUAGGAAGCAGUGGGAUACGAGUGCUAUCUCGGUGCAUCGGUGGUGGGACCCUGAUCUCAGGGGCGCUCCCCAGGCUGGCGCCUCAGCAUGGCACGCAUCACCCGCUCCCACCUGCGUACUGGACACAGAUGGACCUGCAGCCAGGCUCCCUCUGCCCAGCAGCAACAGGGCAGCUGCAUGCCCCAGCCAGAGACAUUAGCAAUAUCUAGAGGAGCUGUCGGCAUCCCUCAGGAAAGGGAAUACUCAUAAAUAUGGAAUGGAAAACAGUGCAGUCCCUAGGAGCCGCAGCUCUGGAGAGCGGCGCAGCUUGUCACGGAGCCCAUUGCCAUGGUACCUGUCAGCAGCUCGCAGUAUUGUUUCACACGUCCUACUGCUCUGAAAGGAUCUUUUUUAAGAAGCACCAUUUUAAAACUGAGCAAUGGCGAGAAGUAUCUCACAGCCCCACCUCAGGUCUUAUAAACCCAGUGACCUAAGGGUGUGUUUAGUGACUUUUAUUAACUCAACACAUUCCAGAAUAUAAACCCGAGAGGUACUGACCAGCUGAACCUUACAAACGCUGCUACUUAUAUGUCAUCACAUUGCGGCCUCGGUUGCGAAUAGAUCCUUCUGACUUGGUUCCAGGCAAUCUGGAAGAUCUGUAACAGCAGCACAAUCAGCUUUUUACUCUAAGAAUGUCAGGUUUAUCACCAGAAAAGCAUUGCACUGUGGUGCUUACGCAUCCGCCACAUUUCCCUCUGUAUUGGGAAGAUCAUCUCCUCUUGCAUGAGGACAACAGGAACUUCAAAGAGAGUUUACAAUCACUGCCCAUAGCAGUUUUCCAUCAGCUUCUGAUGUCUUCUCCCAGUUAAGCCUUUCACUGUGGCAGCCUCUGCACCCAAGAGCCACUGGGCUCAGCCCCGCUCGGGGCAGUCGGAGGAGUAGAAUACUCAGGCAAGGACAUCCAGCCCUGUCUGCUGAGCCGGGAGCCAGGAAUGGUCGGUACACACUUCCAGAAAGGGCACAGCCCCUUCAGUCCCAGCAUCUUGAACUGCAAGGGAGUGCCAAUGGAAAAGACAGGGUUCCCAUGGGAACAGAAAGUGCUGACAUUUCUAAACUAAAAAAAGAAAAGAAGCAGCAAAGUAUGGGCUCAGCAGGACAGCACGGACAGGGAGUGUGGGUAUAUCACCCAUUCCACUCUUCUGUGCUUGAAGGUAAGCUGCUUUUAAAAUGAUUCACAUUUGGCCGCUGGCUGGGGUCACAGCCACGAUGCCAAGUUUGUUUGUCUGGGUUGGAGUUUUAACCCGGACCAAUUGUCUGCAAGAUUAAUUCUCACGCAGGGAUGCAUUGUGCAGCCUUUACCUGUAACCACAUUAAAGGAAACGAAGCGUCCACAUGAAACCAUGUGGAGGCAUUUCUUUCUCUCAUGUAAAAUGAUUGAGAUAAAUAAGGCAAAUUACUCUGCCACGGUGCUGAGCCAAAUAUUUUGCAACGGCCCAUCAAAUGCACUUGCUGCACGGUAAUUAAGUGCCCUUGCGUUUCAGAUGGGAAGAUCUUUAGCUGAGAGAGAUGUUUCACUCCCUGUCAGACCAACACAACGUUAGAAUUGAAUGGUGACUAAACCAAGGUGCUCCAUUGGACACCCAGCAAACACUCACGGAGCUGCCCCGGAUGCAGCCGGUCCCUCAGGGACUGGAAGAGGUGCUGCAAUCCUGGCUCUUCUGUACAGCACAAACAGCGUCACCAUUUAAAAAACUCACUUGCGGCAAAACGAAGAGCAGAAGUCAAUGAAGAAAUUGGCUGUUAGCUCCAGCUCGUUCUAAUCCCUAAAUACAGGAAGAAGUUUAAGAGAGCAGAGGGGAUGCCCCUCACCAAGGAGAAGACAGAGCUGGGAAUGCCUGGAAAGCAGCCUAAGAAGGGAAGAAAAACAAAAAGGAAUUAUCAAACGUUUCUGACCGAGUGAAUGAAAAUAGCAAAUGAUUAAUAUCAUCAUUUAGGAACAUCAAAAAAUGCCAGUUCUUGUGGGCAAGGACCAAUUUGAGAGGGAAGGUUGUGCGGCUGCCAGCAAGAAGAGAUACCUGCACAACCCGACGGCUCCACAAUGAACAGCCGCUUCCUCCAUUUAAACUCAGAACACCGAAAAAAUCUGCAUCAAAUUCACCCAUGGCAGAGGGGAUCCCCAGUAAAAGGUAUCCAACAAAUAGGUUACAUCUGUUACUUCGAAAGCAAGACCAGAAGUGGAGGCCAACAUCUCCAGGGGUUUUGAGCAAGGCAGCCUUAUCUUUUUUCUGUAACAUGGCCUAGAAGGCAUGACUGCGAGCACCCAGACUCACAGAGGGGUCCACAUGCAGCACCAGACCCGGCCUCAUCCUUCUCUGUGUUUUCAAGAUCGUUUUACACUUGGGAGCCCACCACAAAGCAUAAAGUUAGAUUUUUGCCUGCUUUUAUUAUUUUUAAUCUUCAGAGUCCAGCUGUCUUUCAGUCUCAAGCAUCACCUGAUAGUUACAAAUUUAAACACCUAAGGAGACGACAGUUGUGGUGAACAGCCACCCGAUGACCUGCAAGCAAUAAGGUGUCUGUGGGGUACAACAGAGACAGCAGCUUUCCAUCCAGAUGGGAUCCACCCAAGUGCACUCUGCAGAGAGCCAGCAGCCCACAAAUCCAGCUCUUGCCUCUGUCAGCUUCUUCUCUUUACACUCCUUUGCAUUGGCAUGGCCCCACUAUCAAAGAGCUCCAUGUCUGCUCUGGAGCAGACUCAGUCCAUCCAUUCUGUAAGCUCAAUGAAAUGCUGGACAAGAUCAUUGUGUGUCCUGUACCUGCACUCCCUGAUCGAGAGCCCCUCCCCAGCUUUCCUAGAGCCCCUUUCUGUACUGGAAGCUGCUCUAAGGUCUCCUCAGAGCCUUCUCUUCUCCAGGCUGAAUAACCCCAACUCUUCCAGCCUGUUCUCAUACGGGAGGUGCUCCAGCCCUCGCAUCAUCUUCAUGACCGCCUCUGGACUUGCUCCAACGACUCCAUGUCCUUAGUAUUGUUAGUCCCAUGACCUGACUGUUUCUGUGCCUGUCUACCUCGUCAGAGGAAAACUCAGACCCUGUGUUUUCAUUCCUGGCAUUCUCUCACCACCAUCCGGGGCUGUUCAUUGUGGUCCCAAAAUAUGAAAGUACUCAAAGCCCAAAAGGCUGGGACAAACCAUGUCUGCAAGUCAGAGCUGAGACUGGUGCAUGGAUUUGCCCUCAUGCACACAGAACCUGCAUACCAUGCAGAACCGCCGAAUGCCAUAAAUGCACCAUGACACAAUGGUGACAUCUGGGAGCUAUUUUUGUCAAAAGCACGCAGAUGACGUGACCCUGUCUACUCGAGACACACACUGGUUUGAUGCUCACAGCGCUCCACAGCCCAUCUUGAUACAGGAUCUUUAAAAAGCAACCAAGAUUUCAAGUUAAAUGUUAUCAUAGUGAUAGGUUUCUCAUUUAGGCACCAGCAGAGCUCCUGGCUCUGGUUACAGAUGGGGAUCAUGCUCUGGUUUAGCCUGAUCAGGACAUGGAGCAAGGUCAGUUUGGCCCAAUCCUUGUCUAUUACUUCUAUCGCCUCUCUCCCAAAGGCUGUGUGCUCAGUCACUGGCUCGUGCAUCGCUAAAACAAGUUCUCAUAACAGGAGCAGACAUGUCAGUAGGCUGUGGAAUAGAUUCAUUUGCCAAGGAAGCAAUCAGAAAUGAUAUGAGCUCAGCUCCUCACAGGAUCACCCCCGUGAAUAACAACUUCUUACUGUUCCCAGGAAAUAAUGGUGUUUAGACAAUAAAGGUUUAUCAGACACGCAAAGCAACACAGGUUUUCCUGCAAAGCUGAUCUUUACAGUCCCUUCCAACCCAAAUUCUAUGACUCUAUUAUUCUAAUGCACUGAGAAGUUCAGUUCAUCAAUGCUAGCACUGGCCAGGUAAGUGAGGCAGAGCCAGGUGGGGGGAAACGAGGAUCUACACAUGCAGGUAGAGGAGUGAAACAGGUCAUCACACUGGAGCUAAAUGAGGUGGGAGUCCUUAACAGUUCCUCUGAUAGAUUUGAUUGAGCCUUGCGAGUUAGUGCAGCGUAAGCACAGCAAAUUCUGAGCUAAUUCAGCCAACUACUAAAUACGGUGCUUAUAAUCCUCAGCACUGCUAAGUACUUCUCUAGACCAUAGCUGAAGAGCUCAGCAUUGGAUCCAACUCCUAACAAUAAGAUCCAACCCUACAGCACAAUAAGAUUCUGGAGGCACACAUGAGGUAUCAAGAGGCCGGCUGGCAGGCAACAUCCCAGGGGAGAACUGCAACCCCCUGGGUGCAGUCCACAGACUGAAUGCCACAUUUGGAGUUGCCUCUUCCAUCCUCUCCCAGAAGGCCUUCACAUCCCCAACGGGAUACAAUUAAUUAAGCUGACAUGGAAGAAUACAACCCUUCUUCAAAGGACCGGCAGAUUGUUCGGGGAUUUCUCCUGCAGUUGCACAGCUGCACUUGGGGGGGAAUAUGAAUAUUGGAAAAGGCAAAACAGGAAAAGGAAUAAAGCGUGACCAGCUCCUGCUUUGACUCUCACAAUGGGGAGCAGCCAGCUCCCGCUGCACACCGCAGGUAAACAAUACAGCCACCCAGGCAACAACUACAUGAGUGGCUGCACUCUUUAAAGGCUGGGCUGCAAACGAAUCAGAGAGUAAGAUACAAGGUUAAAAGCAGAUUGGUGUCUCAGGAUGAGAAGACGACCUUGCCCUGCGCACAGAGCUGGGCUCAGGCAUGGUCAAGGAGAGCCCCAGUAGCUUGGUCAUGGUCCCUGGCCACUCCAACCCUACCUGCUUAAUGGGAGACACCAGAAAUCCCCCAUACCACCAGAUGCAGUAUAUCUCAUAAAUACAACACAAUACAUGAGCAAUAUAAAUGUUAUCCUCAGGAUAUAUAUUGCAAGCUGGGGAGGAAGCCAUGGAAAGACAGGAAGCAAGUGGCACUGCUUGGGAGGAGAUGGGAAGGGACCAAAAGCCAGAGCUGCAGGACUACGGUCUGCAGUUUCUCCCUGUGUAAGUUUGGGACAGUGCUUCAAUGGCUUGCAUGGCAUAAAGGACAGUCUCCUUUUGGACCUGUCCUGAUUUGGAGCCUCCCAAUGGGCAGGACAAGCCAGCAGCUGCUCUGCCACUGGGCAGCCGUGCCAGAAGUACUGUUUUAACUUCUCUCUAAAUCACUAUUUAAUCCAAGUUGAAUGGUGUAAAGCAUGGUGGCAGACGGAGCAAAGGCACCUCCCCGUGGGUACAGCUCUGCCCGGGCCUCCGGCAGCUCAGUCUGAGAGAUGAGGCCAGUAUGUAAUGGAAAAACUGUCCUGAAUUAGCAGGGCAAUGGAGAAAUUGGUGUGCGCUCUGAAGCCUGAAGGCCAGCCAUAACGCGUCCUUCACCCUUCCUGACUCUCUUUAUUAACUGCUUCACAGGUGGUGGGCGCUUAGGUUUGGAGAGAGUAGGGCAACAGGAGAAGACUUGGGUGCUAACAGGUCAGAAAGUGCGCUCACGUUCAGGAGCAGCUUCCAUCUGUAUUUAUAAAACCCAGCAGCUCUGGGGGUGACUGCAUGGUUUGCUGAGUGUCAUCUCCUCUUGGCUGCCUGCACUUCACUCUUCCCUUUGUCCACACCAGGAUUAUAGAAUCAUAGAACGUUCUGAGUUGGAAGGGGCCCACAAGGGCUAUUGACUCCAACUCCUGUCCCUGCACAGGACAACCCCAACAUUCACACCAUGGGGCUGAGGGCCUUGGCCAAAUGCUUCUGGAAUAUUGUUGGGCUUGGUGCUGUGACUGCUUCCCUGGGGAGCUGUUCCAGUGCUCCACCAUCCUCUGGGUGAAGAACCUUUCUCUAAUGUCCAACCUAACCCUCCCCUGGCACAUCGUUCUGCUAUUUCCUCGGUCCACAAAGAAGAGUUCAGCACCUGCUCCCCCUUCUCCUCCCCGUGUGACAAAGCUGCAGACUGUGAUGAGGUCUCCCCUCAGUCUCCUCCCUCCAAGCUGAACAGACCAAGUCACUUCAACCGCUCCUCAAACCCUUCCCCUCUAAACCCUUCACCAGCUCCAUGCCCUCCUCUGGAUGUUCUCCAGUAGUUUUAGAUCCUUUUUAACCUGUGGCACCCAGAACUGCACCCAGUGCUCAAGGUGGGGCCACCCCAGUGUGGAGAAGAGUGAGACAGUUGCCUCCCUUGUCCGGCUGAUGAUGUUGUACUGGAUGCACCCAGGACAUGGUUGCUCUGUUGGCUUCCAGGGCACUGCUGCCUUGCGUUCAACUUGCCGUCGACCAGAACCCCCAGAUCCCUUUCCGCAGGGUCCUUGGUGUCUGUUCUUCGGCUGCAGAUGCCUUUGGUGCUGCACAGGACCACCCAAGACACAGCUGAUCGCAGUGGCACCGUGCACACAGCUGUGCCUCCGUGAAGCCUGCUGCACUUCUUCAUCCAUCCUGAGCACUCUGACACUGUUAAAGUGAAGGGUUUGUUAUUAAAUCCCAGCCACUCUGGAGUAACUGAAUUAUCCAGGUUUGAGUUGAACCAAUUAACUGAUAUAAAACAUGACUCUUGCUUUCCUAAAUGAAGAGAAUUAUCUUGCUUUCUGCUCAUGUCUCACUGUGAAAGCGAUGUUUCAAACACUUCAACCUUUUUGAGACUGGUUGUCUCUUGAAGGAGCUCAGGUGUCGAGAACUGGAUGAUGCUCUGUGUGGUGCUAACCAAAAGAAGUCUCUAGGGCUGUGAGGAAGAGGGGGGCUUGGAAAAACAUCUUGCUUAGGAUGCACCAGUUUAAAGUCAGGGAGGUCUUGCUGGUUGACCUACUGUUCUGCUAAAACACAUCUGGGAAGGUGAAGUAAUCAGGAAGAACCACAUUCCUUCUCCAGAGAGCAAGGCUAAAUAAAAGGACCGAGACCACGGAAAACCAGCUACAACAGGGAUGUCAAGGCUGGACAUACACAGACUGGCCCCAGCACUUCCUGAUCCCAAAUGCCUCACUGUGGAAAUACAGCAUUCCCUCUGCUAAACAGCCCCUUCAGAAGUUUCACCAUUCUGUUGGGAUGCAGCAUGAAAGGAGGGUUGUGACCAUCAGCUCUUCGGCGCAGAGGGAGAUUUCAAACAGAGACCGGAACGUGCCCAGCGCAGAGACUGACACUGCAAGAGCAGGUAGGAGAGUCCCUGAGUGCAAUGUGAACCACCCCCAUGGCAAUGCCCGUGGACGCAUUCAUUAUGGGAAAUGGCAAGAGCAGAGACCUUGAUGAGCUCCCUGUGAACAGAACAGCCACCACAUCAUCUCUGCGAUGGACCUGAAGGUACCACCCAGUUACAAAGGGGAAGUAAUUGCACUGGCCUAUCCAGGCACAACAAGAAGGAACACAGGUUAGAGUGGUGUGUGGUAAAUAAACACUGUAUUUAAUGUAAAUUAUCCUGCAGUGUUUCUAUCCAGAAAUCAGCAGUGAAUCAGAGGGAAGCAGCACGGAUCAGUUCUGAUUGGCCCUUGCAAUGUUACUAUAAAAUAAAGGAUGAGAUAUUCUAAAUUAUGCUUUUAAUGAAAGAAAUAAAAAAGGAAGCAGGUUAAAUCACGCAUUACUGUGUUUACAAACAUGAUACUGAAUCUUACCACCUACACACUUCAGAUGAUUUUAAAUUAGGACAAAAAUAGAGGAGUGCUUUUCUUUAUGGUGGCAUCUGAACUCCGUUGGUUAUGCCCUGGGGGUAGGCACUGACUUGCACGGAAGUCCCUCUGCUGGGCACCUCGGCCCACGGUGGCUGGGGUAACACACGUGCCAGGUUGGGAUGAGGUCACAGGAGUCCUGGUGGCACUGCUCCCCUUUGCCCAGGACAUCCCCACCCAGUCCAUCUGUCCCUUCCACUCUGGCUUUCAAUAGGAAACAGGCAAACAGUGCCCCACACGACGGCGCUGUCCAGUGUGGUCUCUGCACCCCACAAACAGCACUCUCACUGGGCAAGGACACGGGCAAUAGCGCCCAGGGCCACUCUCCAUGGGCAGCAGAAAAGAACCAGCCCCUCUGGCAGGCUGCAGAAGGCAAGAGGAGCAAGAAGUCUGCAGCAUCUUCUCUUCCACAGGGCAGCCAGCCCUUCUGCUACGCCAUGGCCACGCAGAGGCAGCCUGGCUGACACAGCUCAGGCCAGGGAGGACCACAAGACAUCAGUGGAUGCCAGCCCAGGCAUGGGGCUUUGGAGGACACAAUGUACAUGUGGUUCCCUUGGCCAUCCAAGGUUGCGGUCCUGACAAUCUGAAUUGACACUGAGGCUGAGGGCACUUUGCUCCCUAAGCCCACCAGCCAGAUGGGUUCUCAGACAGGAUUUCACUCCCUGCUCAAGCCCGUCCCACCUGACGACUUGCAGGGUGGAAGAGGAAAGGAGAGAGGCAUGACACCCCAAACAUAGACAGAAUUUGCGCUCCCUUGGUUUUUGGAGACUCAAGCUAGAUGAGGGAUGAGAUGAGGGCAUUGAGGGCAUCUUAGUUUCUCAGCUGCUGCAUAAGCAGAUUAACUUCGCGUGCAGCUGAUCCAUGGAAAAAUAGAUCAGCAAGAGUCCCUGACAAAGACAGAUUUCUGCUCGACUCACAUUCUGCUUGCUCACAGCAAACACCCUGGGUGAUGUUAUUUACGUGACCUAUCUUCUCUUCUGACUAGCAUCACUUUUUACUGCUCAAACUCCAGCCUGGGUCACAGCUACCCCAUUAAAUCAGGCCCAUUGCUGAAGCUAUCCUCACAGUCAUUUUUCCUCAUGAUCUCCCUGUUCCCUCAGGAAUGCUCCUGAAGCCAACCACAGUCCACUGGGAAAAGAAUUUAGAAAACAGAAAAGUAAACUAAUUGCUAUGAAAAGCUCCAUCACUUUUUCUCAUCAGAAGAACAAGAACUGAGCUUCUAAUGUGCCCUCCAAGAAGGAGGGAGCGAGGUUAGGAGGCACCAGCCCUGCUCUGCUCUGCUCUCAGGGAGAGCGAAGCUGAGUCUCAAAGAGGCUGCUCCUGCCUUUCCCAGUCAGCAAGUAGUGUGCUCCACUGGAAACUCAUGUAUCCCCUCCAAUCCAAACCAUUCUGUGAUUCUAUGAUUAGAUAAACGUUUUUUAAAAAAUUAAGUGACAAGAGGGAAACUGGCCCUUAAACAAGGAGCAACAAAAAAACUGACGUGGAUUAUGCAGCAGAGGACAACGAGCAAAGACGAGGAAGAAUGAUAUUUGCAGUGGUAAGAAAAUGUGAAUUUUCUCUGGAAGCAUUAUUUAAGUGGUUUGUAGCCUAAUUUAGCACAUCAAAGACUUUAUUUUUGCUGGACCGCCAUGGUACUUGAGGCUGGCUCAAACUUCCAAGGACGCAAGCACUUCCCUGGACUCAAUGGAACCAUCCACUCUCAAAAGCGUAUCACAUUUCUGACCUGUGUCAGCUUUUCAUUCACCUGCUCAAUAUCCUUUCUGCCUUUGGGAGAGCACCUACACACGGUCUGCUUCCAUUUCCCUUAAGAUCAGAGACCAGGAUUUCACUGCAGUGUUUUAUGGUUAGCAGGCCUGGAAGGGGCUUGGGAAGUCACCUCACCCACCUAAAGGUCUGUGUCUUGCAGUCUUACUAAGGAAAGACUCCAGUACCUCCAGGUUUUGAAGCUCCCGUAAACCAUACUCACUUCAUCCAGAUCCAGAAACAACAGUGAGCUGAGAGAUUGCUGCAAGGCUUCCCCUUCCCUCCCCCUUCCUUGCUCAGAGAUCUGGUUUAGUAGUGGACACGUACAGUUGGACUCAAUGAUCUCAAAGGACUUUACAACCAAAUGAUUCUCUUUGUGGUGCUCGCCACUCUCUGGAAGGUUCCAGACCAGAGAGGGCCUGGGAUGAUGGCCCUAUAUUAUGUGAUGAGCAUAACGGGAGUGGGGCUGAGUACAGCUCUGUGCGGGAAGGCAACAAAUACCCACCACUGCCUGACAUUUAAAUUGUAUUAGAGACGCGCACUUUUCCUAUAAUUGAAAAUACAUUAAUGCACAACACAUAGGGACGGCUCUCCUGGUCCUCAGCUCAAUAAGCUGUCACUUUUCCUACACUGACAUUAGCACAACAGAGAAAACCUGCCAAAAUUCUCAUCAGUACUGAUCGUUAACACCCUGUUUUUUCUACUGUAAAGGAAAAAAUAAACACAUGAGGUGUAACAAAAGGCGCUUUCCCAUCCACAGGUUGUAACAAUCAUUCGCUUUCCUUUUUGUUUAUGAACAAGGAAUUGGAUUUACAAUGUGAGCACUAAAGCAUGUUUCAAGGGCAGGCCAGGGUGUGACACACACACAGCAACAAGCUCUGAUGCUUGGUUUGUGGCUUUCUUACUCUACAAGAAAAACCCAAAGCCAUCUGAACCUGGAAUUUUAACUGCAAACUGAAUUGAAGUGCACAAGUUGGUUUGCCAAGGCAGUGCUAUUCCUGCACUCAGAUACACAAAUCAUAAUCACCUGCCUGCAACAAACAACAGUGUUUCAGAGCCCUUCCCCUGGAAUUGCCAUUUCCAAUUGCUUCCAGAGCAGCAGCAGCUGUUUGUGUGUGAGGUGGGAAAGCAGAAUCCGCCAGACUCCAGAACCGCUCCUUAUAGCCCAGCAUGUGCUUAUUGCAUCUCGUAAUCCUUAAUAAGCAUUUGGCCUUAAUUGCUGAUUUUAUCUUACCCAGUACUUAUGCCAUAAUUGAUGACCAUUGUUUGCAGCAGUUUUAUAGCUCCUCAAUCCAGACAGAAAACCUCGCUCCAGUGCCUGCACAAUCGGAUUUCUCCACAUCCAAGCGGGCAGCAAGGUGCCUGGCACCAUCUAGUGCUGGGUUGCUGUGGCAGAGCCCCCCACUGUGGAGAUGAAGGUGUCCCACCACACCUUGGAGAUGGGAUUGUGCAGCCUGGAGAGGAGAAGGCUCCAGGGAGACCUUAGAGCAGCCUUGAAACCUGUCAGAGCAAACCUCCCUCAAGCUAGAGAAGCCUUUUCUUUGUCCCACAAAAUCUCACUUAUAUUUAGCAGAGUUACAUUGAAGUUAUUAUUUUCCUUCUCUGCUUGUGUUCCCCAGCAACAAAACAAGAGUAAUUGAAUAAGAAUGGUUUGUGAAACCAAAACCAUGCUGUAAGACAAGGGAAUUGCACCACCACUGUGGUAAAAUCCCAUCUUCACUCUUGCUGAGCCACAGCUCCUCCUUCUUCACCGAGCCUGUAACCUUUUCACUCUCACCACAGCGCAUUCCCAAACCUUUCCACGUGGCCCAGGGGCCAUAGACACACCAUCGUCAAGGGGAUUUAUUCUCCUCCGGGCUGCCUGCAGGAUUUACAGCCACCUCUCCUUCUCCUGCGCUGGGCACAGAGUGGCACUCCCUUCCAAAAGCCUCCUAAGCACAGGAGGGAGCAGCAACAAGCACUGGAUUGGGACACAGCCUGUCAUUUACCCUGUAAGGGCCAUUGGAAUCUCACCCGUGGGACCUGCUCCCGCUGUGCACCGCAGUGCACCCCCGGCUGCUUUCAACAAUGGCUGCUACACCAACCUGGCUGCACCUCUGCUCCUCUAAAGUUCAUCUCCCUCCAGGGAAGUCUGCAGCAAUGCUUUCCCCUUUCUGUAUCUCCUCCUGCUCAAAGGGAAAAGGGGUCGUUUUGUGUCUCAGCACCUGCUCUAUGUGUGCCCAACUCAGUUUGCAUCUCCCAGGAGCUUCUCCGGAAGGGCCCAAUGGACCUGGAGCUCGGGUACAAAACCAUUUCCAGUGCAACCUCUGCUCCUCACUUCCUACACAGAGCUCUUGGGGGUUAUUUUGCCAACUGGAAGCUGAUAUCAACGCUCUGCCUUUUCCAUGAUUAUUCACACUAACCUAUUGGAGUUCCUGCCAACAUCUGUUGUUUUUAUCUUUGCUGCAAAUGUCAUUUGCCAUUUUGGGAAUUCCACAGGCCCCUUGGAGCAGCAUAGAGCUGUGACUGCUUCUAUUAAAAAAGAAAACAAACUUCCAUGCUCAGAAAUGCUGUUCAGAGAAAACAUCUUUUUUCAAAAUGCCAGAGCCUGCCCUGAACCUCCCAAGCUGCCUCUCACGAACAGACGUGCUUCCCAUUCCCACCCUGGCCAGGAGCUUCCAGCCAAACACCAUUCCCUGGAUACAGCUUUCCCUCCAACCUCCACCCUGCAGAGCGCUUCCUCUGGAACAACACAAGGAAAGCAGCAUCCGAGCUUCCCAGCUUCCCGAGGGUAGCAGAAAAAUGGGAGCCAGUUGUGAUCUUAACAAGACAGAGCAUUUCAUCCUUAGAAGACAUUAAGUCUCUUCCAAGGCAGAUGCUGUUAAUAAACCUCAGAACAUUGUUUAAUCUGUCUUCUCAUUGUAAUGAACUCUGAUAAAACCUCCAAAAAGCACACGCAUCUGGUGGCAAGGAGUACAAGCAAAACAAUGUGAACAGAAGCACAUCAUGGCAUAAUUUCAGUUCCAUAUUCGGAAUGUUUUCAAAAAAUACAAACUUGUAAUAUAGGCUAAAAAAGGCUUUAUUCUGCUCAGCUGGAAGGAAACAGGAUAUUGGAAUAUUAUGUACUGUUAAAUCACUCAUUUUCUGUAAUGCUGAAUGGAUCAUUAAAUCGGUGUGUUGUCUUACGCAGUAUUCACAAUUCUAUGUCUAAUUAUAGCAAAAAUUUAACCCUACAGUGGUAUUUCCACUAUUUAAAGAGGAAGAAAACCUGGCAUGGGUCAGAGCCAUCCCCUAGCCAAGAAACACAACAUGCAGUGCCAGAGGCAAUUCAGCAUAGGACUGCUUCCUCAGGGGUUACCUCAUGAACAGAAGAAUAACUCAGGCAGGUGAAAACAGCUCCAGACCUUGCGUCAUGGCUGGACCCAAGGUACUGCAGGGAAGAGGGGAUGGAAAUAGAUGCCAAACCCACCAAGGCAGCCCUGGGAGAGGCUCCUCGAUGCCACCUCACACACCCUGCUCACCGAGUGAGUGAGCAGCUCUUCCCCAGGCUCGGAAUCCCACAUCUCAUUCUCCAACGUACUUCAUUAGAACUACUUCCUUCCCAAAUGUCCAAUUAUUACAUUUUAUAGUGGUUUUCCUCUUGACUUAAAUCAUGCACAACAAAUAAUCACACAGAUCUACAUUUAUUUCCAAGUAGAGAGGAGCAGAUCCUUAGGAAUGGAAGCACACAGCAACCCUAUGCCUCACGUCCUCUCUGGGCAGCCUGGGUUAGAAACAUGGCUUAAAUCUCAAGUCUGCAUCCAGAAGUCCUUGGGGAGUUCUUCCUCUACUGAUUUACCUACUGCCUUCUUAAAUUCAUUCAUACUUUUGACCUCCACAACACAACAGCAGUGAUACAUGAUUUAAUUGUGCAGUGUGUGGAAAAAGAAAGUCCUUGUCUUUAAUUGUGCUGCCAAGUAACUUCACCCGGUGUCCGUUAGUUGCACUGCCAACAGGAAUACUAAAUAACCUUUCCUAUUCCGCGUCUCCACACUGAUUGUUUUAUACACCAUUACCACAGUCCUUCUCCCUGUCCUCCUUCCCAAACUCCCUUGCCAUCUUCUCAAACAAAAGCCCUCCCACACUCUCAAUCACCCCUCAUUUCAUCAACUUUUUAUAAGCUUGGGAUCCAAACUGCAGUGUUCAAGCUGUGGAAGAGCUGGGAAAAUUCCUACCCUGGCAGUGUCUUCUCUUUGGUUCUUGAUUUGUGCCUUGUUGAUUCCCAGCUUUUACUGGGCCAGUUCCCAGCCCCCUUUCCUAACACCCACGAGGAUAACGGGGACAUGUUCAGAGGGCAUGAAGAGCCCACUGGGUAGGUUAGGGUAAUUUGCUUUCUCCUGCAGGUGUUACUUGACAUUUACUGAAAUGGAAUUCCUCUGCUGCUCACUCACCCGGUGUAAUGAAACCUGGUAACCCUUCCCAGUUUGUGUCACUUUCGGUUAUCACGAAAAACGACAACAGCCCUUCCAAAAAUCACCUUGCCUUGUCAUUUUCUUCUUCAGAUUAGGGACUUCGAGUACAUGGGAAAAGGCCACAAAUAGCCACAUCCUUAGGAAAGAAGUGACUUUCUCCAUUCUUCCCAGUUUUUACCAGAUUGCUAAUCCAUAAGAAAACUUUUCCUCUUACUUUACAGCUUAAUGGUUCAAGAACUUUCAGCAAGGGCUGAAAGAGGUGAUUCUGCCCUUCUAUUCCUCUCUUGUGAGACCUCAUCUGGAGUAUUGUGGCCAGUUCUGGAAUCCUCAAUGUAAGGACACGGAACUGUUAGAACGGGUCCAGAGGAGGCUACAAGGAUGAUCAGAGGGCUGGAGCACCUCCCAUACAAGGACAGGCUGAGAGAGUUGGGGUUGUUCUACCUGGAGAAGAGAAUGGUCCAAGGAGAUCUCAAAGUGACCUUCCAGUACCUGAAGGUGCUACAGGAAAGCUGGGGAGGGACUGUUUACAAAGGCUUGUAAUGAUAGGAUGAGGGGCAAUGGGUAUAAACUGGAGAGGAGCAGAUUUAGGCUUGACAUAAGGAAGAAAUUCUUCACUAUGAGAGUGGGGAGGCCCUGGCCCAGGCUGCCCAGGGAAGCUGUGGCUGCCCCAUCCCUGGAGGUGUUCAAGGCCAGGUUGGAUGGGCCUUGGGCAGCCUGAGCCAGUGGGAGGUGUCCCUGCCCAUGGCAGGGGGUUGAAACUAGAUGAUCUUUAAGGUCCCUUCCAACCCUAACCGUUCUAUGAUUCUAAGGGCCUUUCUUAAAAGCCCAAGUGUGUUAUGACAACCAAAUCAACUCCAGCAUUUGCCUUUUGACUCCUUCAGCAAUCCCUAGUGAGAUCUAGAGAACUGACCUUCCUCUGAAGAGCUGUGUCGACUCUUUCCAAACAUACCACCAUAUCCAUGAAUCGGCUCCAUCCGGCCCUCGCAGCCCAGCUCAGCUCAGCUCAGCCUGCCUAAACAGGCUUCUCUCUGGAAGUGCUUCAGGUCUCUCCUGGAGGACACCAGUUACCUGGUGACAGUGCCCUGUCACCCUGCUGGCACCACUGCCAGUAGCUGGGUAAUGCCUUGUCUGAGUUCCUUUAAAGUCUCAUGUUCUGGUCCCAAAGAUCUCAUCAGUCACUCCAAACCUUUAACUCCUUUGGCAUCUCCAGUCCCUCCAACAUACACACACAUCUAGAGCAGGCGCUCUCUGAGGAGAACCUUCUGCAGUGAACAGCAAUGCAGCAUCUUUUCUGCUGCAGCCUCAAUACUCCCUGAUCCCUUCUUUUCACAUCUGCCAAAGCUGCUCUGGUUGGCAAGGGAUCCAAUUUUGAUCCUAGCACAUGGGAAGAUUUUUGACAUCUUCAUCAAGCUUCUCUUCGAGACUGUUCUAGUGGCCAAAGGGCUGUUCCACAUUGACCUUGACAGACUGCCUUUCCUGUUGCCUUUUUUCAGACACAGCCUCUGUUCCCUGUGAAGAUGGCUUUUUGGUUAAACGGCUCCUCCAACUCUGUUAAAGCACAUCACUAUCUGGGUUUUGAUAAGCUCCCUACCCCUGGGCUGCGCUUCCAAUACUCUGCCUUAAAACAACUGCAACAUCACUUCAACAGGAAGAUCUAGAAGCACGUACAGUUUCAUACAUGUCCCAACAAAUUUCCUUCUUUGCAUCCUCCAGCCUCUCCAAGAUCCGUACAAUGUUUAAAACUCAGUUCUUGCAUUGUGUUCUACAAUGACAACCACACAACACACACAAGACCAGGGCUCUUUCCAUUAAUGCUGUACCAUGGGGAGGUCAGGAGCCAGGGAAGCCCAGACAAAUCACUGUGAAGGACCAGCCAAGAUCCUGGUCAGAGGCUGAGCUGGAGAUGUCAAGACAAGUUAAUUCCAAUACACAACACAAGGUUACAGUCAGAAGCUCUGUAAAAGGAAGUAGGAACACAGCCUUUCCAACCAGGAAAAUAGACCAGGACUGGAUCACAGCUGGAAUGGCAAAUUAACGGAAAGAAAACAGCCUGGUGUUGCCUCACCACCAAAUUGUAACCAUAAAAACCUAAAGGUAACCAAAGGUAACCACAAAAACCAUGCACGUGCCAGCUCCUGCCCGGGCUGGCACCACUCCCUGCUGCAAGGGAGAUGCUUUGCUAGCAGCUACAGAGAUGGGAGCUCACAUAAAGUGAAGAGAAAGGGCUUAAAUCAGAGAGAGGGAAAUAUCACAGAGCACAACCCAAGGAGAUUUCUGAAACCCAAGUACAGUUCUGAGCUUAGUUUUGUGCUGUUUAUACUGUAUUUACACAAUUUAGGCAAAUGUUUCAUUUCUUACUGUGCUCAGGUUUGCACAGACCAAGUGCCUCUGGAUAGAACAAGCUCAUGAAAGCGGACUGAGAAACCUGGAACUACUACUUCAGCUUCAGUGAAGUAAAAUCUACAACACCAGCCUGAGAACGUGAAUCUGCACCGCCACCUGCAGCAAGCAGACUGGCAAACUGGCCACCAGUGCAGCGGCAACUAAAAGUGCUAAAAUGCAAAUACUGGUAUGCAAGUAUGGUACAGAAUCAGGUAGAAAACAGACAGGAGCAUGUGUGCCAUGACACUAGUCACAGCAGGCAGAUUCCGCACAACACAACGCUAGUUAUCUUGGGAAACUGAAGCAUUCCACGCUUCAUUCCCUCGGUGUCACUGUUUCCACCUUUUAAGAGGAAAACCAAUCCCUUUCUAUUUCUCCCACAUACUUUCAACACCGCUUUGCAACCUGCAGGUAAGGUGAUUGCAUCACACACAUGCUGUAAACAGGAGCUCGCUCCAAACCCUCUCUCCCGCCUGAGGUGCUUGGCCCCAGGAGGCAGAAAACCCUGUCCCUGUCAGUACCCGACUCUGUUGUGAGCUGCCUCCCCUCCCCCAUGAGGCAGAACUUUGCACUUGGCCUUGUUGAACGCCGUAAGGUUUUCACAAGCCCAUUUCUCCAGCUCUUUCAGGUCCCCUCGGAUCCAUCCCCUCCCUCUGGAUCCAGCCUUCCCCUCAGGGCUAUCCCCCUCACCAUUCAGCUGUGAUC